rnacentral:rRNA from 1 species
AGUUUAGUCAAUGUUGCCCGUACCGUAAACCGACACAGGUGGGUGGGAUGAGUAUUCUAAGGCGCGUGGAAGAACUCUCUUUAAGGAACUCUGCAAAAUAGCACCGUAUCUUCGGUAUAAGGUGUGGUUCGCUUUGUAUUAGGCUUUACGCCGAAAGCAAAGAAACUUACAACAAAGAGUCCCUCCCGACUGUUUACCAAAAACACAGCACUCUGCUAACUCGUAAGAGGAUGUAUAGGGUGUGACGCCUGCCCGGUGCUCGAAGGUUAAUUGAUGGGGUUAGCAUUAGCGAAGCUCUUGAUCGAAGCCCGAGUAAACGGCGGCCGUAACUAUAACGGUCCUAAGGUAGCGAAAUUCCUUGUCGGUUAAAUACCGACCUGCAUGAAUGGCGUAACGAGAUGGGAGCUGUCUCAAAGAGGGAUCCAGUGAAAUUGUAGUGGAGGUGAAAAUUCCUCCUACCCGCGGCAAGACGGAAAGACCCCGUGGACCUUUACUACAGCUUGACACUGCUGCUUGGAUAAGAAUGUGCAGGAUAGGUGGGAGGCUUUGAGUAUAUGGCGCUAGCUGUAUAUGAGCCAUCGUUGAGAUACCACUCUUUCUUAUUUGGGUAGCUAACUAGCUUGCGUUAUCCGCAAGUAGGACAAUGUCUGGUGGGUAGUUUGACUGGGGCGGUCGCCUCCCAAAUAAUAACGGAGGCUUACAAAGGUUGGCUCAUUGCGGUUGGAAAUCGCAAGUAGAGUAUAAAGGUAUAAGCCAGCUUAACUGCAAGACGGACAAGUCGAGCAGAGACGAAAGUCGGUCUUAGUGAUCCGGUGGUUCUGUGUGGAAGGGCCAUCGCUCAAAGGAUAAAAGGUACCCCGGGGAUAACAGGCUGAUCUCCCCCAAGAGCUCACAUCGACGGGGAGGUUUGGCACCUCGAUGUCGGCUCAUCGCAUCCUGGGGCUGUAUUCGGUCCCAAGGGUUUGGCUGUUCGCCAAUUAAAGCGGUACGCGAGCUGGGUUCAGAACGUCGUGAGACAGUUCGGUCCCUAUCUGCCGUGGGCGCAAGAAGAUUGAAGAGAUUUGACCCUAGUACGAGAGGACCGGGUUGAACAAACCACUGGUGUAGCUGUUGUCCUGCCAAGGGCAUCGCAGCGUAGCUAAGUUUGGAAAGGAUAAACGCUGAAAGCAUCUAAGCGUGAAGCCAACUCUAAGAUGAAUCUUCUCUAAGCUCUGUGCUAGACUAGCACUUUGAUAGGCUGGGUGUGUAAGUGGUGAAAGCCAUUUAGCUGACCAGCACUAAUAGAGCGUUUGGCUUAUUUUA